GGCUUUAGCUCAAUGGCUAAACAUCUGCUUGGCAUGCAGAAGGUUGCAGGUUCAAUCCCCAAUGGCCU